AUUUCCAAAUCAGCCACGCUUAUCACUAUUCCCAUAAAUUUCUCCAAUUAUUUUACCUUCCUUAUUUAUUCAAAUUUGUUAUAUAUUAUCUUCCAAUAGAGGUUUCCUACCAAAACAAAACUCCCCUUCUCUGAUAAGAACAACUAUCGAAAAAUGAAUACCAAUAAUUUUUCAAUUCUAAUUCAACACAACGGACGAUGGGACUCAUCAGGUAAUUGUAUAAAAUAGUUCGCAUGGUGUUUUAUUACGUGGUUAUAUAUGAUUUAUCACAAAUAUCUAUUUUGUACUUUUUGAGAGUUAUUCGUUUGGUUUAGUUUGUCUAUUUUGGUGAAAUUGAAUUCAUCUAAUU
rnacentral:lncRNA from 1 species